UCAACUAGUAAAAAAAAAAAAUUAGCACGAAAGAGCCACAAAGAUAAUAUUAAGUACAAAAAGGGGUGGCCAUUUGAAUCUGAGAUUUAUCGUACAAAAAUCUUGAAAAUUUUGUGAAAUACUACCUUAAUGUUUGGACGUUUUGUGAAUUACUACCUUAUAAAAGCUUUUUUAUAUUUUGCUACCUUAUAAGUUUGAUAUGUUUUAGUAACACUACCUUGUAACGGAAAACGUUAAAUCUCUCCGUUUGUGGGGCCCUUCCCAACGACUUUAUUCCAUUUCUCUUUCCUCUUUAAUCUCUGUUUUCUACUCUUUCCCAUUCUCAAUCUCUGUUAUUAACGCAAGGCAUUAAUCAGCAAUCAUCCCAUCAAAGAAAGACUUGAGAGGGAGAUUAACACGAAUGGUUUAAAUUAUCCAUCAACUAUUCCCCUGCUUCCAAUGACUCCUGCAGUGACAUUGCAGCCUGAGCGAAUGGGUCAGGGACGUUCGACUCCUGCAACUUGUUUGAAUUAGACCCCUUUAAAGCAUCCCUUCUCAUUGCCGAUGAGUUUGAGCUAGUAUUAUAAUGAAGCAGAUUCCGGGUAAAUCAUUCUCAGACCUUGACACUUUCAAAUUUGCCAUCAAUUCCUUCCCAGCUGGUAAUACUUCCUCAAUGGACAUGUACUCCCUUUUGUUUUUCGUAUUUUUGUUGCGUUUUGUGUUUGUCAUGACUACAGUGGAUACAAUUGUCAAUUGAUGGCCAAAGAAAAUGUUCCUCUAUAGGUAUUCUAUAUAUGCUUUCUUCCUUCUAAAAAUCAUGUUUUAGUGAGAUUAAUUACUCUGCUUAUUUGUUUUGAAUUAACCAUAUGCUCCACAUCGAUUUCCUAGUUGAUCAUUGUUGAGACAUGUAUGUUUAUGCCAAAUUUCGUAUGGACGACCUUUGGUUGGGACAUAGACGACUAGACAAAAUAAAGUAUGUAAAUGACAUGAAAUAAAGGGCGGAAAUAAAGAGAGACGAGACAAGAGAUGGUGACGCGGAAAACCCGAAAGGGAUAAAAACCGCGGGUGGCCAUGAGUCCACCAAUCCACUAGGUAAUAGGCGUAAAAAGCCUUAUUGAGUACAAUUACAUUGUAUAUUCGCAAGAACGUAAAUAUAGCUAAUAUAAUAGGGUAAACACAAGUAGGUGUGGCAAAUAUUGUGGGAGUACGUAAGCGGACGAGACAUUCAGGGAAGACUCGUUGUGAAAGAGCUUUAUAAUAGGGCAGUAGGCUUAAUGCAAGGGUAGUUGGUUUAGUUGGUUUAGUAUAUACCUUGGCUAAAGAUGAACGACAAUGGUUAAUAUCUUGGUGGAAUACCCAUGUGGAAGAUAAGAGGAAGGCUAGCUUAUAUUUGUUGUAGGAGCUACGGGAAAAGCCAUCGGAUCAUAGGAGCAUGAAGGGAUAGUAUAUAUGUAAUAUCCCGAACUUUCGGGUAUUUUUUUUAAUAAACUAUUUUGGUAACUUAAGAUAAUUUUACAAUUUUAAAAUAAAAGUUUUAAUGAGUUUAAAAAAAAAAAAAAGUAUUUUUAGAUUGUUUUAUAAAGGUUCUGAAAUUUAGUCUCCUAAUUAAACCCUAAUCACCGUAUGUUAUAUAUACUCCCACAAACCUCAAAAUUCAUGCCGUGUAAAUUGACUACUAUAAUAAACUCUUGCCCUCUCGCACCUCUGCCGUCAUCAAGGACAUCUCUUAAUUUCCUCCAUCUCCUGGUGCAUCUUUUGUUUCUCCUGUUGCAAUUCACUCGCUGGCUAGUUUAAAUAGAGCUGAGUUUGACCUUCCCCUCUUAUUUUCAUGUCGACGGGGAUUACUAGGUGGUUCUUCCGAAUUAAGAUUCCGUACCUUGAGAAAUCAGGCGCGUUAAAGGUUGGUAAAGGUAUUUGGCUAUGAGUGAGGAGACGCUUAGAAUAACCACCUAGUCAAGAGACAAUUUCUAUUCCAGUCUAAGUUGGAUUUUGUUAUUUAUUUUAUUGGGAUUAAUUGGUUGUAAUAUUUUAUUGGCCACCUUUAGACCACUUAGUUAAUUUUGACUUU